rnacentral:rRNA from 1 species
GUGGGGAAUUUUGGACAAUGGGCGCAAGCCUGAUCCAGCGACGCCGCGUGGAGGACGAAGGCCUUCGGGUUGUAAACUCCUUUUGGAGGGGAAGAAUAAAUUGACGGUACCCUCAGAAAAAGCCACGGCUAACUACGUGCCAGCAGCCGCGGUAAUACGUAGGUGGCGAGCGUUACUCGGAAUUACUAGGCGUAAAGCGUAUGUAGGUGGUUAGAUAAGUCUAUGGUGAAAUUUCCGGCUUAACUGGGAAGGGACAUAGAUACUAUCUGGCUUGAGUGUGGGAGGGGGAGACGGAAUUCCUGGUGUAGCGGUGAAAUGCGUAGAUAUCAGGAGGAACACCGAUGGCGAAAGCAGUCUCCUGGCCCAAUACUGACACUGAGGUACGAAAGCUAGGGUAGCAAACAGGAUUAGAUACCCUGGUAGUCC